GACGAACGCUGGCGGCGUGCCUAAUACAUGCAAGUAGAACGCUGAAGGAGGAGCUUGCUCUUCUGGAUGAGUUGCGAACGGGUGAGUAACGCGUAGGUAACCUGCCUGGUAGCGGGGGAUAACUAUUGGAAACGAUAGCUAAUACCGCAUAACAGUAGAUGUUGCAUGACAUUUACUUAAAAGGUGCAGUUGCAUCACUACCAGAUGGACCUGCGUUGUAUUAGCUAGUUGGUGGGGUAACGGCUCACCAAGGCGACGAUACAUAGCCGACCUGAGAGGGUGAUCGGCCACACUGGGACUGAGACACGGCCCAGACUCCUACGGGAGGCAGCAGUAGGGAAUCUUCGGCAAUGGACGGAAGUCUGACCGAGCAACGCCGCGUGAGUGAAGAAGGUUUUCGGAUCGUAAAGCUCUGUUGUAAGAGAAGAACGAGUGUGAGAGUGGAAAGUUCACACUGUGACGGUAUCUUACCAGAAAGGGACGGCUAACUACGUG
rnacentral:rRNA from 1 species